GAUGAACGCUAGCGGGAGGCCUAACACAUGCAAGCCGAGCGGUAGAGAUUCUUCGGAAUCUUGAGAGCGGCGUACGGGUGCGGAACACGUGUGCAACCUGCCUUUAUCAGGGGGAUAGCCUUUCGAAAGGAAGAUUAAUACCCCAUAAUAUAUUUGAUGGCAUCAUUAGAUAUUGAAAGCUUUGGCGGAUAGAGAUGGGCACGCGCAAGAUUAGAUAGUUGGUGAGGUAACGGCUCACCAAGUCGAUGAUCUUUAGGGGGCCUGAGAGGGUGAUCCCCCACACUGGUACUGAGACACGGACCAGACUCCUACGGGAGGCAGCAGUGAGGAAUAUUGGACAAUGGGUUAGCGCCUGAUCCAGCCAUCCCGCGUGAAGGACGACGGCCCUACGGGUUGUAAACUUCUUUUGUACAGGGAUAAACCUACUCUCGUGAGAGUAGCUGAAGGUACUGUACGAAUAAGCACCGGCUAACUCCGUG
rnacentral:rRNA from 1 species